GGCUCUGUGGUCUAGUGGUAGGAUUCCUGCUUUGGGAAAUUGAGAAUUUUCAAUCUGCAGGAGGUCCUGAGUUCGAACCUCAGCUGAGCCC